GAAGGAUCCAAAGUGGAGACUGGAAACUCUCAGGGUGGAGCCUGAUGGAGUCCGAUGGUUGACACCAGGUCUGAGGAAAUAUUCCUGUCAACUCACCAUCGACACAAACACAAUGAGCAGAUUACUGAAACUGUCUGAAGACAACAGGAAGGUGACACUUGUGGAGGA